AUGAGAACACAAUAGCACAGAUUGCUGAAGGACAGAACGGUCGGAGUGGGACUAGGAGCCUGGAGCGGGGGCGGGGACUUGAACAUUCCAGGCUCUGUGAACUAAGGUAAGUAGGCCUCUCCAUCCUGAUAGCGAGGGAGGCCUCAUCGGGUUUGACCCCGGCAUGCUUUGACACCUUUUUCACUGUUGGAAGAUGCUCUGACUUUAAAGUAGAAAGCAGACGUGACUGAAGCUGAUUGACACAGGUCAAGGGGACUUCAAGGAAGAAAGCCAGCCUUAGACUGACAUCAGAGAACCAAACUCCGGUGUCUAAGCUCAAGAAUAGCACCAGCUGAGCAUGGUGGCCCAGGUCUGCAAAUCAUAGCUGCAAGAGAGGCUAAGACAGGAAGAUAUUAUUGGGGCUUUUGAUGAGGAGACCAAAAGGCAGCUCUGAGCACAACCCACCCAAGAGCUUUCCUGAAUUAAUGAGCUAGCUACAGGCUCAAUGAGAAACCCUAUCUUAAAAUGCAAGGUGGAGAUGAAUUGAAGACACCUGACAUCAACCUCUGGGCUCCACAUGUACACUUAUAUGCACAUAUACACGAAUAUGCACACACAACACAGAGUAUACACAGUACAACAAAAUACAGAAUAAAAGUAAAGCUAUAUACCCCUUUGUAUACAUGACUAGCCACAGCACCUUUAACUGUAAUAAGCCCAAACUGUAAAUCACCCAAUUGUACAUGACUAUGUGAAUUGAUAGCAAGCUAUGGGAUAUCCAAUGCAAUGGGCCCAUCUCUGACACUGAAUAACUCAGUUUAUAAGUCAACAACAUGAAUAGAUCUUAAAAUCAUGCUGAAUGAAAUAAGUUGGAUAUAAAAGAUGGUGUGCUGCAUGGUUUAUAUAAAAUACUAGAAAAUGACCUUGAACAAGUUACUAAACUCUGAACUUCAGAUAUACCACAGGGAAAUAAAAAAUUACGGUAACUUCAUAAUUGAGGUUAGAAUCCUGAGAACUGUUUGGAAUAAGGAAUCCAAAUAUUGUCUUCCAGCUUCACCUUGUCACGACAGUCCUCGCCAGGGACAGCUGAGGAUGGAAACCAGCCCUGCACACUGCUGGCUCUGGAGGCCUGGUAGAUUAACAGGCACCGGACUUACAAUUGGUCUCUUAAGCCUUUCAACUCUUUAGAAGCAAAGGGGAAGGCAUGGAGGGUGCCAUGAAAUCAAAGACAUUGUUCGUAAGCUCCUGGAUCUUAUCAGUGUGAGGAAGUGUUCAAAAAAGUUCUGUCCCCCCUAGAGACAAAAAGGUAAGAAGCAUGCCAACGGUUUUGCUUUAAUCCAUGACCUUGGACCUCUUCUCUGCCUCCCAGCUCCCAUGGCGCCUCUCUCGAUACGUGGCCUCUUCUGAUACUUACCUCAGCUUGGACACAGCUCUCUGAAGAGCAUCUACAUCUCCAUUUAUGCCGUGUGCACGCAGUACCAACAGAGGUCAGAGGAGGGUGUCGGAUCCCCUGGAACUGGAGUCACAGAUUCUGCCUUGCGUGGAUGAAACAGUCCCAACGAACACUUUAAAAAGACAAAUGUUCCCGACAGCACUGGUUGAAUUCAAAACUCGGCAGAUCCAUGUUCUUAUCCUUAGACAAGAGAGGGGCCAUAACAAGAUGGAAUGACGGAACAGACGUGAGAGAUGAUGUCCACCCAGAGGGUCUGCACUUCUCGGAGCCAGAAGGUGGAGAAGAGUAGGGAUGGAGGAAGUUCGAAGUUUUAGGAGUCUGCUCUUGGGUCCCUAGGCAUGAGGACAAGCUUUUCCUGUACUCAAUGCUCAUCUCUCAGUUGUGCCCACAUUGGUACACAUUACUUGCUUUCAACUGCUGCUGCUGCUGUUUCCUAAUUCAAUAAAGAUAUGGCUGGCUCAGCAGAGAGCUGUCAUCCAUCCCUGUGUGUGU
rnacentral:lncRNA from 1 species